UGGGGAAUCUUGCGCAAUGGGCGAAAGCCUGACGCAGCGACGCCGCGUGCGGGAAGAAGGCCUUCGGGUUGUAAACCGCUUUCAGGAGGGACGAGGCCACUCGGGUUAAUAGCCUAGAGGGUGACGGUACCUCCAGAAGAAGCCCCGGCUAACUACGUGCCAGCAGCCGCGGUAAUACGUAGGGGGCUAGCGUUGUCCGGAUUUAUUGGGCGUAAAGAGCGCGUAGGCGGCCGAGUAAGUCCGACGUGAAAUCUGGAGGCUCAACCUCCAGCGGUCGUUGGAAACUACUCGGCUAGAGUCCGGAAGAGGAGAGUGGAAUUCCUGGUGUAGCGGUGAAAUGCGCAGAUAUCAGGAAGAACACCGAUGGCGAAAGCAGCUCUCUGGGACGGUACUGACGCUGAGGCGCGAAAGCGUGGGGAGCGAACAGGAUUAGAUACCCUGGUAGUCCACGCCGUAAACGAUGGGUGCUAGGUGUGGGCGGUGUCGACUCCGCCCGUGCCGAAGCUAACG
rnacentral:rRNA from 1 species